AUUAAAUGGAUGAAGAAAGAAUAUUAUUGAACAAUGAAAAAAACCUGUUUAAACAUAGUGCUAAGAUCUUUAAUCCUAUUCACUAUACAAAAUUCCAUCAUACAAUGCGAUAGAAAAUUAAUUGUCUCAAUCAAGAUUUUUAUCUUUACGCUUUCAGUGAAAAUGAAACAUAGAAAGAACAUAAGGGGCAUAUGUAUGUAGAAAAUAAGUAAAUCAAGUCUCCUCAUAAUUAU